ACUCCUACGGGAGGCAGCAGUGGGGAAUAUUGCACAAUGGGGGAAACCCUGAUGCAGCCAUGCCGCGUGUGUGAAGAAGGCCUUCGGGUUGUAAAGCACUUUCAGUAGGGAGGAAGGUAGUGUAGUUAACACCUGCAUUAUUUGACGUUACCUACAGAAGAAGCACCGGCUAACUCCGUGCCAGCAGCCGCGGUAAGUACGGAGGGUGCGAGCGUUAAUCGGAAUUACUGGGCGUAAAGCGCAUGCAGGCGGCCUGUUAAGUCAGAUGUGAAAGCCCGGGGCUUAACCUCGGAAUUGCAUUUGAAACUGGCAGGCUAGAGUCUUGUAAGAGGGGUUAAGAAACGUUUCAGGUGUAGCGUGAAAUGCGUAGAGAUCUGAAGGAUACCAGUGGCGAAGGCGGCCCCUAGGACAAAGACUGACGCUCAGAUGCGAAAGCGUGGGA
rnacentral:rRNA from 1 species